GACGAACGCUGGCGGCGUGCUUAACACAUGCAAGUCGAACGGAAAGGCCCUGCUUUUGUGGGGUGCUCGAGUGGCGAACGGGUGAGUAACACGUGAGUAACCUGCCCUUGACUUUGGGAUAACUUCAGGAAACUGGGGCUAAUACCGGAUAGGAGCUCCUGCUGCAUGGUGGGGGUUGGAAAGUUUCGGCGGUUGGGGAUGGACUCGCGGCUUAUCAGCUUGUUGGUGGGGUAGUGGCUUACCAAGGCUUUGACGGGUAGCCGGCCUGAGAGGGUGACCGGCCACAUGGGGACUGAGAUACGGCCCAGACUCCUACGGGAGGCAGCAGUGGGGAAUAUUGCACAAUGGGCGGAAGCCUGAUGCAGCAACGCCGCGUGCGGGAGGACGGCCUUCGGGUGGUAAACCGCUUUCGCCUGUGACGAAGCGUGAGUGACGGUAAUGGGUAAAGAAGCACCGGCUAACUACGU
rnacentral:rRNA from 1 species